UACGUAGGUGACAAGCGUUGUCCGGAUUUAUUGGGCGUAAAGCGCUCGCAGGUGGUUCGAUGCGUCGUGCGUGAAAGCCCCCGGCUCAACUGGGGAGUGUCGUGCGAUACGGUCGAACUGGAGGCCAGUAGGGGGAUGCGGAAUUCCGGGUGUAGUGGUGGAAUGCGUAGAGAUCCGGAGGAACACCAGCGGCGAAGGCGGCAUCCUGGACUGGUCCUGACACUCAUGAGCGAAAGCGUGGGGAGCGAUCCGG
rnacentral:rRNA from 1 species